GAUACAUUUCAUACAACUUGAGCUUUGUGGGAAAGCAUUUAAUACAAUUUUGGUGUUGAUUGUUUCGGAUUUUCCGAAAAUUCUCAUUACUGUACCGUAUUUGGUGGCAAGAUAAAUUGUGCAAAUAAAAGCGAAAUUUAGUGAAUUCUUAGUCCUGCAGUUCUUUUUUUAAGAAAUAAUUAAAAGGUAUGCAUGCCCAUACAUAUAUCCCAAACUUAUGGAGGCAAAAACACCCCAAAUUUUAAAGUAUUUAAUGCAGUACAUAUUAAUCGAAGCUGAGGAAGAGGCAGAACUCCACUCCGUUGGAAAGACUAGUUGAACAAGGUUACCAAGUGGGACGCCUCCGCUGCUGUUCCAUUACCGUACCUCCAGUUUCAGUAAAUAUCUUUACUACCUCGGAAUCUAGGGAACCGAAAACUAAAUUGAUUAUCUUGUUUGAGUGACCGACGCCUGGGUAAGCCAUACAAAAUAUCAGUUUCAAAAUUAUUGCAAAGAAACGGAUAAAUUAAAAUAAAUAUUGGUUUGAAAACAA